rnacentral:ncRNA from 1 species
CAGCGCACUCCGGGGUCGGUGUAAUUCCGAACCGGCGGUAUAGUCCGCGACCCGUCCGCAAGCCAGCGGCCGGUUGACCAGGUGAAAUUCCUGGACCGACGGUGAAAGUCCGGAUGGGAGGCAGUGCGCGG